GGAUAUCCCACCCAGCCAGUGAUAUCAGUCAGCAUGCCAGGGCUGGGAUAUACUGGCUUUACUGGCUCCUGCUCCGGAAGAGGGGGCUCAACACCAGCGAGGCCCCAGACUUGUGGUGCCGGGAUGGGCUCCAUGACCCCGAGCGCCUGGGGUAUAGAAACCUGGCCAGGGUGGGAGAGGCCUUUGGCGAGCUGUUUACAGAGGAGCAGAAAAGAUCUUUCCUCGAGGCGGGGCUGCUGGCCAUUCACCACCCCCUCCUCCGCGUCAGCCAGGCUGGCCUGGUGCUGACGUAUUCCUUCCUGGGGGAAGCCGGCCAGCUGCUAGAGGACGAGGAGGACAUCGCAGCCUACAUAAAGAUCCAGCUGUUUAAAAUCAGGGUCUUGGGCCAGGUGCCCGACGCCCUGCAGGGGCUGUGCUCCGUGGGGCAGCACUGAAGACCCCCCCCCC